rnacentral:rRNA from 1 species
GAUGAACGCUGGCGGCGUGCUUAACACAUGCAAGUCGAACGAAGCAUUUACGACAGAUUCUUUCGGGAUGAAGUUGUUUAUGACUGAGUGGCGGACGGGUGAGUAACGCGUGGGUAACCUGCCUCAUACAGGGGGAUAGCAGCUGGAAACGGCUGGUAAUACCGCAUAAGCGCACAGAAUCGCAUGAUUCAGUGUGAAAAACUCCGGUGGUAUGAGAUGGACCCCGCGUCUGAUUAGCUAGUUGGUGAGGUAACGGCCCACCAAGGCGACGAUCAGUAGCCGACCUGAGAGGGUGACCGGCCACAUUGGGACUGAGACACGGCCCAGACUCCUACGGGAGGCAGCAGUGGGGAAUAUUGCACAAUGGAGGAAAACUCUGAUGCAGCGACGCCGCGUGAGUGAAGAAGUAAUUCGUAUGUAAAGCUCUAUCAGCAGGGACGAGCAGAAAG